CAGCCGCCGCGGUAAUACGUAGGGUGCGAGCGUUAAUCGGAACUACUGGGCGUAAAGCGUGCGCAGGCGGUUAUAUAAGACAGAUGUGAAAUCCCCGGGCUCAACCUGGGACCUGCAUUUGUGACUGUAUAGCUAGAGUACGGUAGAGGGGGAUGGAAUUCCGCGUGUAGCAGUGAAAUGCGUAGAUAUGCGGAGGAACACCGAUGGCGAAGGCAAUCCCCUGGACCUGUACUGACGCUCAUGCACGAAAGCGUGGGGAGCAAACAGGAUUAGAUACCCCCGUAGUCCCUGUCUCUUAUAU
rnacentral:rRNA from 1 species